GACGAACGCUGGCGGCGUGCUUAACACAUGCAAGUCGAACGGAAAGACCCUGCUUUUGUGGGGUGCUCGAGUGGCGAACGGGUGAGUAACACGUGAGUAACCUGCCCUUGACUUUGGGAUAACUUCAGGAAACUGGGGCUAAUACCGGAUAGGAGCUCCUGCUGCAUGGUGGGGGUUGGAAAGUUUCGGCGGUUGGGGAUGGACUCGCGGCUUAUCAGCUUGUUGGUGGGGUAGUGGCUUACCAAGGCUUUGACGGGUAGCCGGCCUGAGAGGGUGACCGGCCACAUUGGGACUGAGAUACGGCCCAGACUCCUACGGGAGGCAGCAGUGGGGAAUAUUGCACAAUGGGCGGAAGCCUGAUGCAGCAACGCCGCGUGCGGGAUGACGGCCUUCGGGUUGUAAACCGCUUUCGCCUGUGACGAAGCGUGAGUGACGGUAAUGGGUAAAGGAGCACCGGCUAACUACGUG
rnacentral:rRNA from 1 species